rnacentral:lncRNA from 1 species
UCAAUCAAGGGAGAAACAAUAUAUGGCAUUGUUAGGGCACCAAAUUUGGAGCUUUUUCCUCCGAUCGUUUUCGAGGUAAAUUGACCUCAUGGAAACAUAAUUAGGGGUAUUUCCGACUCGUUGGUGCGCUCGGUUCGGUGAAACGAAAAGACUAUGUAAAUGUAUUUAGUAAAAAGCCUAAUUUGGCUCUAAUUUAGUACAGAUCGUCGUAACACGCGGGAUAGGAGUUUAAAAAUCCUAAGAAUCGAACCACAACUCUACUAUUCGAGGUAGGGGGUGCAUUCCGGAAUCGUUGAAUUCCUUUCUAUGUCUAUCUCACAUUUUUAUUGAGCAUAUGCCAAUAGUCAUUCAUGUAUGAUAGGGUAGCUCACAUGUGAACGUUGGUUGGAUUUCAAUAUUAUGCUUCUAACGUAGAUGAACAUAGUGAUUGAUAUGAACCAUGAUGGACAUGUAUGUUGGAACCCUAUACUUGUAUGAAUGUGAGAUCGGGAUUAUGAUAAUAGUAAACAAAGAUGACAUUGACAAUAGAGACAAGAUUGGCAUUGAGACAUGAACCAUUAAAC